UACGUAGGGUGCGAGCGUUGUCCGGAAUUAUUGGGCGUAAGGAGCUCGUAGGCGGUCUGUCGCGUCGAAUGUGAAAACCCGGGGCUCAACUCCGGGCUUGCAUUCGAUACGGGCAGGCUAGAGUUCGGUAGGGGAGUCUGGAAUUCCUGGUGUAGCGGUGAAAUGCGCAGAUAUCAGGAGGAACACCGGUGGCGAAGGCGGGACUCUGGGCCGAUACUGACGCUGAGGAGCGAAAGCGUGGGGAGCGAACAGG
rnacentral:rRNA from 1 species